UAUUGAUUUUGAAUGGAUUGAUCAUUGACCUUUAUGAUGAUCCUUCGAUUGGGAGCAUUUAAAAGUUAAUUACUAAUAAUAUAUGUCUCAAAUUCUUAAUAUCUUGAGAAUAUAUAAAAUCAUCUUUGUUAAUUUUUAAGACAAAUCAUGGACACAUAAGACAUGAUUGAUAAUAAAGAUUAUCUAUCAAGUACAAAACAUGUCCUAAAAAAAGUAUGUGUCAGCCAAGGUUG
rnacentral:lncRNA from 1 species